UACGUAGGUGGCAAGCGUUAUCCGGAAUUAUUGGGCGUAAAGAGCGCGCAGGUGGUUAAUUAAGUCUGAUGUGAAAGCCCACGGCUUAACCGUGGAGGGUCAUUGGAAACUGGUUGACUUGAGUGCAGAAGAGGGAAGUGGAAUUCCAUGUGUAGCGGUGAAAUGCGUAGAGAUAUGGAGGGACACCAGUGGCGAAGGCGGCUUCCUGGUCUGCAACUGACACUGAGGCGCGAAAGCGUGGGGAGCAAACAGG
rnacentral:rRNA from 1 species